UACGGAGGGUGCAAGCGUUAAUCGGAAUCACUGGGCGUAAAGCGCACGUAGGCGGCUUGGUAAGUCAGGGGUGAAAUCCCACAGCUCAACUGUGGAACUGCCUUUGAUACUGCCAGGCUUGAGUACCGGAGAGGGUGGCGGAAUUCCAGGUGUAGGAGUGAAAUCCGUAGAUAUCUGGAGGAACACCGGUGGCGAAGGCGGCCACCUGGACGGUAACUGACGCUGAGGUGCGAAAGCGUGGGUAGCAAACAGG
rnacentral:rRNA from 1 species